rnacentral:tRNA from 1 species
GCCAUUUUUAGGCCAUAUUCGCAGAUUGUGGAAAGAUGAAAAAUUGCUUUCGUAAAGCAUAGGUCGUCGGUUCGAAUCCGAUGGGUGGCU